rnacentral:rRNA from 1 species
UAGUCCACGCCGUAAACGAUGAUCACUCGCUGCUGGCGAUAUACUGUCAGUGGCCAAGCGAAAGUGUUAAGUGAUCCACCUGGGGAGUACGAUCGCAAGAUUGAAACUCAAAGGAAUUGACGGGGGCCCGCACAAGCGGUGGAGCAUGUGGUUUAAUUCGAUGAUACGCGAGGAACCUUACCAAGGCUUAAAUGUAAAGUGACUUUUUUGAGAAAUCAAAAUUUUCUUCGGAACAGUUUACAAGGUGCUGCAUGGUUGUCGUCAGCUCGUGCCGUGAGGUGUCGGGUUAAGUCCCAUAACGAGCGCAACCCCUAUUCUUAGUUGCCAUCGAGUAAUGUCGGGGACUCUAAGAAGACUGCCGGCGCAAGCCGAGAGGAAGGUGGGGAUGACGUCAAAUCAUCACGGCCCUUACGCCUUGGGCUACACACGUGCUACAAUGGUUGGUACAGAGGGCAGCCACUAGGUGACUAGGAGCAAAUCUCUAAAGCCAAUCUCAGUUCGGAUUG